CCGCCUACGGGAGGCAGCAGUGGGGAAUUUUCCGCAAUGGGCGAAAGCCUGACGGAGCAACGCCGCGUGAGGGAGGAAGGCCUGUGGGUUGUAAACCUCUUUUCUCUGGGAAGAAGACCUGACGGUACCAGAGGAAUAAGCAUCGGCUAACUCCGUGCCAGCAGCCGCGGUAAGACGGAGGAUGCAAGCGUUAUCCGGAAUUAUUGGGCGUAAAGCGUCCGCAGGCGGCCAAUUAAGUCUGCUGUUAAAGCCUGGGGCUUAACCCCAGAUCGGCAGUGGAAACUGGUUGGCUAGAGUACGGCAGGGGUAGAGGGAAUUCCCAGUGUAGCGGUGAAAUGCGUAGAUAUUGGGAAGAACACCAGUGGCGAAGGCGCUCUACUGGGCCGAAACUGACGCUGAGGGACGAAAGCUAGGGGAGCGAAAGGGAUUAGAUACCCCUGUAGUCCUAGCUGUAAACGAUGGAUACUAGGUGUUGGACGUAUCGACCCGUUCAGUACCGAAGCUAACGCGUUAAGUAUCCCGCCUGGGGAGUACGCAC
rnacentral:rRNA from 1 species